rnacentral:lncRNA from 1 species
AAUACCUUAAUCAUGGAACUAAUAACUUAGAAAAAUUUUUUUGACUUAGACUUAAUCCUUAAGAUUGAUAUUAAAAGAAAUAUGACAAACUAUAAAUAUCUUAUAUGAUAUUUUAUAGUGCCCAUCCCAUAUGACUUUUGUUUUGCCUAAUCUCUCUUGUUGCUACAAGGCUAAAAAUCUGAAGUAGGAUGGAUCGAAUUGAAUGAGGCUGGACUGAAAUGAUUCUUGCGAUCCGGUAGAAAUUCUUUUAAUCUACAAAAUCAGUCAAGAAAUCAGAUAGGGAUCUUCAGGUUCUUGACCCUUUGCUUAAAUCAGUUUGAGUCUUGAGAAUAGAGGUAGAAAAGAGUGGAAGAGCAAGAGAGAUCGAAUGGAGCUGGAGGAGGACUAGGUAGGAACUAAGAUUCUGAUCUGGUUUCCUAUCGACAGAGUCUUCCUUAGUUUCAGAGAGCAAAACUUACCGAUGGAGGAUCCCUGAUCCUCUAUUUAUAGAGGGAUUGAGGAAGUCGUUCCAGAGUUUGUUAGGUCAUUAGAAG